rnacentral:tRNA from 1 species
GUUUCCGUGAGUGUAGUGGUUAUCGCGUUUGCCUAAACCGCAAAAGGUCCCCUGUUCGAAACAGGGCGGAAACA